GAUGAACGCUGGCGGCGUGCCUAAUACAUGCAAGUCGAGCGAACAGACGAGGAGCUUGCUCCUCUGACGUUAGCGGCGGACGGGUGAGUAACACGUGGAUAACCUACCUAUAAGACUGGGAUAACUUCGGGAAACCGGAGCUAAUACCGGAUAAUAUAUUGAACCGCAUGGUUCAAUAGUGAAAGACGGUUUUGCUGUCACUUAUAGAUGGAUCCGCGCCGCAUUAGCUAGUUGGUAAGGUAACGGCUUACCAAGGCAACGAUGCGUAGCCGACCUGAGAGGGUGAUCGGCCACCCUGGAACUGAGACACGGUAAAGACUCCUACGAGAGGCAGCAGUAGGGAAUCUUCAGCAAUGGGCGAAAGAUUGACGGAGCAAAGCCGAGUGAGUGAUGAAGGUCUUCGGAUCGUAAAAAUAUGUUAUGAGGGAAGAACAAAUGUGUAAGUAACUAUGCACGUCUUGACGGUACCUAAUAAGAAAGCCACGGCUAACUACGUG
rnacentral:rRNA from 1 species